CUUCGUUUAUUGUGGCUAUCAGAACCUCUCCUUCUCCAUCGUUACUCUUACUCUGGUCAAUAGCGUUGUGUUGGCGCAGCUUCGGGCGACAGAGAGAAGUAAGCCUAAAAAAUGGGUUUUGUUGUGGUGGUAUCAUUGCCUUUGAUACUCUUCAUCUUCAUCGUAGCACUUGCAUUUUACCUUCUGGGUAGGGCCUGGGGCCGAAGCGAAGCAGGCAGACUUCCGCAGUAUUAUGGGCCUCCAGCGCCUCCAGUCCAUGCCCACUCUCCGCCCACGGAUAAAUCAUAGCGGGAGCUAGAAUUGUUUUUCCUAUGUACUAUAUAUAUCUAUAUAUGUAUAUACUCCUUUGUUGUAUUUGUGUGUUGCCAAUAGGGACUAUUUCGAUGUGUUUGUACAAUAUAAUCACCGAUUCUUGCUAGAAAAUAAGAAAAAUAAAAAUAAAAUCAUAUUCGAAUC